GAUGAACGCUGGCGGCGUGCCUAAUACAUGCAAGUCGAGCGAACAGACGAGGAGCUUGCUCCUCUGACGUUAGCGGCGGACGGGUGAGUAACACGUGGAUAACCUACCUAUAAGACUGGGAUAACUUCGGGAAACCGGAGCUAAUACCGGAUAAUAUAUUGAACCGCGUGGUUCAAUAGUGAAAGACGGUUUUGCUGUCACUUAUAGAUGGAUCCGCGCCGCAUUAGCUAGUUGGUAAGGUAACGGCUUACCAAGGCAACGAUGCGUAGCCGACCGGAGAGGGUGGUCGGCCACACUGGAACUGAGACACGGUCCAGACUCCUACGGGAGGCAGCAGUAGGGAAUCUUCCGCAAUGGGCGAAAGCCUGACGGAGCAACGCCGCGUGAGUGAUGAAGGUCUUCGGAUCGUAAAACUCUGUUAUUAGGGAAGAACAAAUGUGUAAGUAACUAUGCACGUCUUGACGGUACCUAAUCAGAAAGCCACGGCUAACUACGUG
rnacentral:rRNA from 1 species